GCCAGACUCCUACGGGAGGCAGCAGUGAGGGAUAUUGGUCAAUGGGGGAAACCCUGAACCAGCAACGCCGCGUGAGGGAAGACGGUUUUCGGAUUGUAAACCUCUGUCCUCUGUGAAGAUAAUGACGGUAGCAGAGGAGGAAGCUCCGGCUAACUACGUGCCAGCAGCCGCGGUAAUACGUAGGGAGCAAGCGUUGUCCGGAUUUACUGGGUUUAAAGGGUGCGCAGGCGGAGGCACAAGUCAGCGGUAAAAUCGCGGGGCUCACCCCCGCUCCGCCGUUGAAACUGUGUCCCUUGAGUGCGCGAAGGGUAGGCGGAAUGCGUGGUGUAGCGGUGAAAUGCAUAGAUAUCACGCAGAACUCCGAUUGCGAAGGCAGCAUACCGGCGCUCAACUGACGCUCAUGCACGAAAGUGUGGGUAUCGAACAGGAUUAGAUACCCUUGUA
rnacentral:rRNA from 1 species